AUGUCAGGUUCUGCCACUAGGAGGCGCCAGAGGGAGAUCGCAAAGCUGGAGGACCGAAAAGGGACUUUUAUCUUUCAGUGCCCACCAGUUUCAUCCUGGCAUCGAAGUUUGUUUCAGUCUCUAGGUUUUUUCAACACCCCUAGUACCAGCCUCUUAGUCAUUUCUCUGCCCCAUGAUUUACAAAACUCUCCUACUUUAAAAACAACCACCUCUGGGUUUUAAAAACAAUCCCAGCGCCCUGUGUACAAUUUCACAACAAAGGAGAGAAGCGUCAAGGGCUGGGACGAUAGCAGAGGGGUCUGCGCCUGCAUGAAGACCCAAUUUCUUCCCGGGUGGUGGAUAAAGCUAAGGAGAUAAAAAAUGACCUUUCACCUUCGGGAACAGUAAUCGCCACCUCUCUGGAGCCUGUGCGGAGGAUGAAUUAGGAAGAAACAAGGCCAGACCACCAGUUGGCAGACUGCUGAAGUCAAGAAGUCCUCUAAGCCAGAAGUGAUGAUGCCAUGAACCAGGCUUCUUACAGAGUUGUGAUGUGCCCCGGAACGCCUCAUCUCAGGGAAGGCAAGAGGAGUCUCUCUUAAGAGAGUAUGGCGUCUGCUUCUAGUGCUGUUUACGGCAAAGCUGAAAACUGUCUUUGAAAUUAACAACAGAUGUGCAUAAAUCUUCAGUUACCUAGCAACUAAUACAA